GCAAAGGAAAUGACAUCGAGUAGCCGAGUUAGAACCGUUUUACCCAACACAAGGUUCCUUUGAUUCAUUUUUGUGUGCUCGGGACCAUCGUCGAAGUCAUCACACCAGCUUGCAACUUUUUGGUAUCUUCUUCCUAGUUGGUCUAAGAGAACAUUUCGGCAUGUAUAGGCUAUUAUGUUUUGUUUGAACUUUGGUAUGUAAAAUUUUGGAUAGCCAUGCGAAAAUGGCUUAUAUACGUUUUGAGCAUAAUGUUAUAGUCAUCUUGAAUGUAUAUGUUCA